UACAGAGGUGGCAAGCGUUGUUCGGAAUUACUGGGCGUAAAGGGCGCGUAGGCGGCCCACUAAGUCAGACGUGAAAUCCCUCGGCUCAACUGAGGAACUGCCUUUGAAACUGUCUGGCUUGAGGCCGGGAGAGGGUAGCGGAAUUCCCAGUGUAGCGGUGAAAUGCGUAGAUACUGGGAGGAACACCGGUGGCGAAGGCGGCUACCUGGACCGGAACUGACGCUGAGGCGCGAAAGCGUGGGUAGCAAACAGG
rnacentral:rRNA from 1 species